GGUCCUGUGGCCCAAUGGAUAAGGCGCCUGACUACGAAUCACGAGAUCCCAGGUUCGAGUCCUGGCAGGAUCG
rnacentral:tRNA from 1 species